CGUCACGGUCACAGCUGCGCACACGGCCCGGCGCCGGGCGGCUCCCUCCCCCUUUCCCUCCUACUCGUCUCCCUUCCCUUGUGUCCCGAUGGCGGCCAGUGACACGGGAAGGGCCCAGCAGCAGAUUGAUGAAAUUGAAGCCCUUUCAUCCAUCUAUGGUGAAGAUUGGUGUGCUGUUGAUGAAGAUGAAAAAAUCUACUGCAUUAAGAUUAGUGAUUGUCUGGAUCAACCAAAAUGGACCCUCUGUUUGCAGGUGAUUUUGCCACCAGGAUAUCCGACUGAAGAGCCACCCAUUUAUCAACUCAAUGCCCCUUGGCUUCGAGGACAAGAUUAUACGGAACUAGCAAAUAGCUUGGAAGAAAUAUAUCUACAGAACCUUGGUGAAAGUAUACUGUAUUUAUGGGUGGAGAAGAUACGAGAAGUUCUGAUAGAAAAGGCACAAUCUUCAGAGCCAGAACCGGAUAUCAAGAAAACCAGUCAAGAAGUUGAUGAAGAUGAUGGAGAAGAUUUUCUCCUAGACUAUGAGCCCAUUCAGGAAGAUCCAAUUAAAAUGUUAAAUUACAUGACAUCUGAAAGUCAGGAAGAUGAAGAACCGCCACCCAUACAUCACGGAAACCCAAUCACAGAUCGAAGGAGUACUUUCCAGGCACAUCUGGCUCCAGUGGUGACAACCAGACAAGUAAAAAGAGUUCUUGAAAAAUUAUAUGAGAACAAGAAGAUUGCAAGUGCUACUCACAACAUAUAUGCAUACCGAAUAUACUGUGAAGAUAAGCAGACUUUCUUACAGGAUUGUGAAGAUGAUGGAGAGACAGCAGCAGGUGGACGUCUUCUUCAUCUCAUGCAGGUUCUAGAAAUUAAUCUUUGACUUCUAGAAAUCUUGAACAGAUUUUAAAAAUCACUACAAUGUAAAUAAUUGUAGAAAAUUAUUUUAAUUCUUGCUCUGCUGCAGUCAAACAGAUGUUUGCUUUCUUAAAGGUGAAGGGAAAAACACAGACUGGAGUAUUUUUUCAAGUCUCAGAUUAUAGAACGAGUGGUGUUUCAUAGGUGGUAGUAAUAGUUUGAAUGCCUUAAGAGAUAAUAAAGUUUUGAUUCCUAUACAUACCGUGUGGUGUAAGGUAUAUAGAAAAUGAAGACUGGAAGAAGCUGAUGCUGUUUCCUCGAGUAUGCAUAAUAGAAAAACAUAUAUAUGAACUUGCACAGUAGAACUUCAAGAACAAAAGGUAGUGGGAGUGAAGCAGUUAAAUUGUUUUGCUAAUUUAGUCUGUUUUGUUAUGCUGUUUCCGGUUCUGUGUCCUUAACUCUCAUACUUGUUUUCAUCUGUUGAAAUAAUAUUCCCUCACCAAAGGUGCUACUAAAUGUGACUUGAGAUUGAUAAAUUUUGGUUCAUGAUGCCAGCCCUAGUAGAACUAUAAAUAAAAUAUCAUAAACUACAGAGUUUGUCUGGGUACAUCUUAAUGAUGUGCCUCAAGACACUUAGCAGUAUGAGCAGAUAAAAUAUUGGUUUUGAUUUUUAUUUUUCGAUUGAUGUCACCUUCACAACAGUUUUGUUUUCCCAUGCUUUUCUUGCUUGAAUAUUUUGUUGCUUAGUGUGUUAUGCUCUUAUUUCUGGAGGCUUUUUUUCCCCACAAAAUUUUUUUUUUUCUGAAAAAAAUACAAUUGAUGGAAGUAUUUUGACAUUUUUAAUUUAGAACUUUUUCAACCUCAACCCAGACUUGGGAAGGAAAACUUUGGUUGCGCGAUAUAUGCAAGUAUAUGUGCUAAGAGUGAAAACAUUAUUGUUAUGAAAAUUAUGUAAAGAAAGAAUUUGGCAGUUACUGUACCUCAGUUUGUUCUGAUCUUAUCAGCUUGUUCUCAGCUUGGUUAUAUAUACUUUUGAAAGCCGUCAGAUUUAGAGUUUCUAAGCACUUAAUAUUCCAUAAAAAUGCAGUUUAGAAAGUGAUGUGAAGUAUCUCCUUUCAAAUGUGAAUGUAUCUAAAUUAUAUGGAUGAUCUCUCUCCAUCUGUAGUCCUAGUUACUGGGAAUAUUUUAGUUUUGGUAGAAUUCUAAGGUAGGGAUCAGAAAAGAGCAAUUUUCAGCCAUAGAAAAAGAUUGAAAUAGUUUAUGGGCUGUUUUCUAGAUGUUCAUAGAUCUUGUAGUUUUUUUGUUAUGAGCUCUUAUGAUAUAUGAUAUGGGUAUGAAGAUUAGGUGAUUUAAAACAUUUAUUGUUUCUAUACUUGUAGCUCUUUUUUUUUUGCAAUAGAAAUCUAAUCCUAUUUCAGAUAAACCUAGCACUUAAGACAGCUCUUUUUGAUUACAAAAAACUGUAUUUUAGAUUAAUACCAUCCUGUUCACUUUGAACAGUUGCUAUAUAUAGACUUUGUGGCUGAUACUAAAGGAAGAGUAGAAAAUGCCUGUCACAGCACAUGCCCCAGUCCUUUUUUCUUUUUUUUUUCAUUAUCCUUUUCAUUUUAAAAUUCUAAGAAUAUUUCUCUUUUCACAAACAAUGAUAGACUCUUGUAAUAGUAUUGUUCAAAUUAGUGAAAUAUCUAUUUUUUUUCUCCUUAAUGAAGACGAUUAAUGGUUGUUAACAUGCACAUGCUAACAGUACUAGCUACAUUUUGGUAUCCAUAUGAAUAAUGCCUGUGCCCUGACUGUUAUGAGCCUCAUCCAUCAACACUUCUAAAAAUGUGGAUAGACAAUUUACUUAAUAACAGUGGUUCUCUGGAAAUAAUAAUUGGUCGUAUCAAACAAUAAGAAACGUAAUUUUCAGUAAUUUUCCCUUUAAGUAAUGCCUGAAGCUUUUGGCACAUAGAUGAGCAAUGGUAGUGCAUGAGAUAGCUUUGUGCCCUUUCUGAGGGAUACAUGGACUCAUUUUACUUUUGCAUUUAACUUUGGAUAGGAGCUUGGAGAGGGAAACUUAAGCACAACUGCUGACUAGUCAUUCUUUGUUACUCUCUGAUAACCUAUGUGGGCCACAGACCUGACUGUAAGGCCUUCAUAAAAAUGCAAGAUAGUAAACUUUUUCUAUGUUUAAAAUUGGUGCCAACAGUAAAACUAGUUCGACUAAAAAAAAACAACUUCUAUUUCUUUCU